GAGUCUCUGACAAAUGAAGAACGCCAAUAAAGAGCCAUCGCUGCCGACAUCAACCAUGUUUGGUUCGGUGACAUGAGGAAAAAAACAAUCUGACGACCACAGCCACCACACCUACUUUCGCUGACCGUAUUGGUAUUCCAGCCACCGUAGUGUUGAUUAGUGAAAAUUGUAGCGCACUUUUGCAGUUGCGCCUUAAGUGGUGUUUCCUAUUUUGACAGUUUUUGCCCUGUGCAUCUUCGUUGCCGCACGUGCGUGUGCCGAGGUGGAGUGCGAGCGUCACCGUGUGACAGUGCUUGUGGCUGAAGUCAAGCGAAAUUGGUGCCGGAGGUGAUCUACUAGAUUGUGUGAAGCCUGCCACAUGCCGCGGACCGUGACAGCAAGCUUCCGCGAGCAUGGUCGUGGAACUAUGGCAGCAACGUGGAAGAUCUGUUCAACUCAUUGAAGCUUGUCUUGCCAGAUCAAUAGAAUCCUAUUGGAUAUGCAGAGAACCAAAAUUAAGAAAACUGUAACCAAUACCACAAUCGUAGCAAAAGAGCUGUCCUUGUUUUAAUGUGCUUGUUUGGUGCAAAGUACUGAGAUGUGCUGUUAUUUAUAUCUUGUUUUUCAACCAGUUUGCGAAUAAGCUUGCACUAGUAUUUGCAGCAGGGCCGCAUGCACAAAACAUUUCACACAUUUGUCUUUAAAUGAGUGUCCUAGCUUAUCUGCGGAGUACAAAAAGUACAUGUUUUUAGUUGUAAAGUGCCUCUGGUAUUACAUUAUCGUCUAGGGAGUAAGUAAGAUCUUGAAUGCACCUUUUAAAAGAAGUGGAUGUACUGUUACGGUAAAUAAUAUCCCUGUAAAUGCCUUCCCUGCAGCCCUUUUUUUUAUUGUUCCUCGUGCAUGCGGAGCCUAGCUGCCACUGAUGAUUUAAUGUCUGACAUUUGGACGUUAAACCCCACAUAUCAAUUAUUUAAUCAAUCAACUAAUAUGAAACCUUAACCACUGUUUGCUAUUAAGCCUCUUCGACAUGUGACUGUCCGAAUAUAAGUUGAAGAACACAACUGAAUAUGUUCUGGAAGCACGAAUUUUCAUGUUUUCUUAAAAAACUAAAUGUUAGUUUUCAAGAUUCAUUCCCUGAAUCUUUGUUUUUAUGUCUGUUUACUGGCCUGUAUGAAACGACAGGGUUUUGAAGAUAGUGUUUUGAAAAUUAGGAACGACGGUGGAGGGGGGGACAACAAUAAGAAAAGUCGCUAGUUUCGGAGCCAGUCAGACAGUUGCCCUCUGAAAAAGAGACCAAAUAGCUCCCAGAAUAUAAAGCCAGUUUUCAAUUUCAAUAUUGAGAACUAUAGACUAAAAGUGGCUUGAGAGUUAUAAUUUCUUGUUCAAAAAGCAUCGAGUAGCCAAACUGCUUUCUAUGCUUCCUUCUUGUGUGACUGGCCAUUGGCAUUCUAUAAUAAUGAACCAGUUCAUGUGCAGUAUGCCAUUUAAUUUUUGUGUCUAGAACCAAGAAAAUAUAAUCUGUGAUUCGGCCUACACCUUAAGCUCAAGUCAGCCAGCUUUGACAGAUUUGCAAACAGUACUUCAUAUGUUAACUUGUGGCCAGCGUCAUUUGCUUCUUUAUUAUUUCCUGUACCUUCGUGCUGUUUUUACUCAAGUGUGUGAGUAUGUUUCACUGCCACUUUCGUAGGCUAUAUUGCUUGCUUGUGUCUGAAGACAACAGGUAUUGCUGCGUCCUGCUCAUAAAUUUCUGCGUACGCGCGCAGACUUGAUCGACAUACCUCCCGAGCUGUCUCCCCACGAAGGCUUGAGUGAGGAAAUGAAGCUACAGCCUGGCCCUGUGUGCAGCGAAACCACACCUAGCUGUGAAAGCGAGGGGAAGAGCCGGGAACCGCACGUAUGCAGCUACUGUAGCAAAGUGUGCAAGCAUAAGAGCUUCCUGGAAAAACAGCUACGUAGCCACACAAAAAGAGUGUUGUGCGUCAUGUACGAACACGCAUAAGUGAAGUCACUUUGCUGUUGUUUCUGCCCGGCGACAUUUGCCACCAACUGGCAGAAGAGGAAACACGAGGUCGCGGAACAAUGGCAGCAACAUGAGAUCCUGGAGUUUUGUUCAUCUCGCGGCAUUUAAUCUUAUUAGGCUUGAUAUAAAUGUAUUGCAUGUAUAGAAAAGUGAGCUAAGAAUGGCACAAAUAAGCAAGUCAGUGCUAGUGGAACCAAAAUGGCUGCCUCUCCAGCAUUGUGCUCUCCUGAAAUGAGUUCACGAUUACGAUCACAAGCUUGUUGAUAGAAUUGUUCAUGAUCCAGUUUGUACAGAAGCUUGGACUGUUAAUGGCAGCAUGAAAUGCUUCAUUAAAGGCUUCAAUUGACUCUAUUGCCAAUUUCACCAUUACAGGCUUAUUAAUAGCAUAUAAAAUUAAGGUCAAAGUUUCAUUUUUGAAUUUUGCACUGAAAUUUCUGUGCAUGACAUCACAGAUUUCAAAAAGUUUUGUUUGUAUUUCGACGAACACUGGCUCCAGGAUUUUUUCUGGAACUUGAUGUGCUAAAGCUUUAGCUCCCUCAAAGAACUACAUGCUUCAUUUUUUUAUUGAAUAGGAACUGCAUAGGCCCUAGAAGUCGCUGUCAAAGUCUGUCAUGUCGUGUCGAAUGGUGUGGGGACUUCAAGGGGCGCUGCCACCAGCAUUUUUUUUCUGCACGUUUUCUCGCUUACCAAGCAUCUUGUCGAGGCAAACUUGGUGAUUUUGGUAUUGUAAAUGUGGGAUUCACUAAUACAGAAAUAGUCAUUUCGCUUUUUAGUGUCCCUUUAGCAUGUGGGAAACACCUCAAAUGCUCAUGUUGCCAUGCCUGCAUUAUCGUGUGGGCGAAUGUUGUCUGUCUCUUAUGUCAUGUUUCUUUGUGCUGCUUUUAUGCAAGUGUGUGUGAGUGUUAUGUACUGCUGCAUACAAUAUGGUAUCUCUUUCAUGAUGUUAAAAAGAGAACAGGACAGGGACUGACUUGCUCUGACCAUUCCAAAGCGUCAAAUAAUGUCAUCUGUGUCUCCGGAAUGGGCAUAGCCAAGGGAGGGGCUCAAACCUCCACGAAAUUUUAAUUCUUCAAUUUUGUUUAUAUAUACGUUCACACAUUCAAAUGCACGUACGAACAUAGUUGAGCCCCCCCUACUGGUGUCUGGCCUACAUUUCGCUCUAGCACGUACAGUUAGUGGCUCAUUUACAUGUCAAGUGGCAAGAUUUGAGGAAGCCUUGUACCCAGUGACCUUUAUUUAAGCUAGUUGCGAGAAAUCGGUCAAGGAACGAGAAACAGAAAAGGAGUUGUAAGAGCAAGAACUUGGUUGUUAUGCCUUAUGCACGCAAAUUUUUCUAUGGCCUCAAUAUCUUUACAGUUCAGUGCAGAGUAUAAGUCGUUUAUUUGGCUCCCAGUAAACUGCGUGCGGUGUGUCCAGUAAUAGAAAGAUUGGCUGUAGGCCAUAUUUAUGACUAAGCAUUACGAAUAAUGCUCAUAAGCACACCAACUGCUGGACGAAUUUUGGAUACUGCUUUUCACUUUCAUGCAGAUGGGAAUGUAUAGGACAGCUGGGGCAAUGCAUCAAUGUUUUGGCUCACGAAGCAUGUCUUAAAGGGGCCCUGCUACACUUCUUCAAGUAGCUAUAGAAUUAAUUCACUGCAAAGCUUAUUGCCUCAUGAAUUUACCCCCGCAAAAAAGUUUUCGUAUCCGUCUAGUGUGAGCGGAGUCACCAGGAUGUUUCGCAUGCUGCAAUCGCAUUCUCUCUCCUCUCGUCCCAAUAAAAGCACUGGAAACUAAGCCGUGAGGUAUAACAAGGGGGAAAGCAAAUACGUCAUGCGCGAUUCGUUACCUUGACCACUUUUUUUUUUUUUCUUUUCGAUCAAGCGUCUUUUUAAAGCGAUUGCAUGGGCAUACGUGUGGACAAGUCGCAGCCUCUUGCAGUGAUCCCUGUAACAACUGAGUGUGCCAUGCUCAAAUCAGCUAAUAGAUGAUCGAACGGCUGUGCUCAGUGAUUUUUUAGUUUCUUCCGCCAUUUGUCAAGAGAGAGCAAUUUUUAGCUGAAUUUGAGAAUUUAUUGCGAGUUCCAGGCCAUGUGCUUCACCAUAAUAUUUGAAUCGCGUGUUCUCGAAAGCUUCUACUACCAAUCGGAAGCAUUUUCUGAUCAUCCUCAGAAAGUGUUGCAGGGCCCCCUUUUAAGUCUGAACAAGAAUGGUCACAAGAAUCUGCCCGAACAUUGCUGUCUGUGAAAGUGCUGGCCUAAUUUCAAUCACACAGAGAUUUUGUAACGACGACAAUGACAACAACCGUAAUGCGAGCAUAAGAAGCUUCGCUGCCAAAACAGCAAUGCACGUUACUGUGUAGUUGCUAAACCGAAUCAUGACCCUUGUCACACUGUGCCGUCUGCCCAAGCGUAGAGAUAUUAACAUGAAAUCAGUCGUCAAGCCAGUACAGAUCGAACUAAACAGCAUUGUACGCAUCAGCCAGCCUUUGAUUGCAUAAUCUGAGAGGAAAAUAGCAUAUCUAUGUGCACAUUGGGAUCAUGUCAGCGAAGUAACAUAUGUAGUCUGUACCGUAAUCUUCCGUUGUUCUAGAUGCGAAGCAUUUCUUAGCGAACCAAAGGCACCCAGAUGAAGCAUUUCAAUCUAUAUACCUAUUUUGCCACUUUUGUCUGGGUACUCUCGUUACUGCCUCCUUAACUUGGUCUGUACAUCACCUAGUUAAGGUCAUAUGAAUGAUCUGCCUAUGACUGUCUGGUCAUGACAUGAAUAACAUGAGAAUCCCAUUGUGUGUCAUCAAGCCAUUUUCUCCAGACAAGUUUGGCAUGUACCCAUAUACAACAGAUUGCAGUAUGCAAGUGUGCGCCACAGGUGACUGAGAGUUAAUGUCUAUUCAGGAACAGCAAGAACAGACAUGUGUAAUUCAAAUGCAAGGGCGUUAUUAAAAACCAACAUUGGCAGCAAUUACCAUAGAAAUGCAAAAAAUAAAAAUCAGAAUCUCAGCAGUAAUCGAACCCAAGCUCUCUGAAUUGCAGCAAGAUAAUCUACCACAGAGCGAUUCUAGGUUUUGAACCUUUAGAAAAAGAUUCUAUGCAGGUGUAACGUCACUGUGCUAGCUAUGAAACUUUAUAGCAAGAAUACACAGACACAAAGUCAGUACACUUCAAGUGUAAUGUAGAACUUUUGGUUCAUUGUGUAAUACAUUAAAAACAACAGCUUCGAAACUGCAAACCUUCAACGGCACAGGGAGUCGGCAGGUGAAUGGUUUGGCUCAAGCGGCAUAAUUUUUUCUUGGUCGCAGUCUUCUUCACCGCACCUUUCGAGCCGAGCCCAUUUUCUCAAGUACCAAGUGAGGGAAGCCGUCGUCUGGAGCAUCACCUGUACGGCGACACCUCAGCUGCCUGGGUGAGAAAGCCAAUGAACGGGCGAUCGUACGAUUGCAGCUACUGUGGAAAAGUGUUUCCGCGCAAGUGUGGCCUGGCCAAACAUGUGCGCAUUCAUACGGGCGAGAGACCAUACUCCUGCCACCUGUGCCCCAUGACAUUCAACCAGAAAGAGAGCCUUACGCGCCACUUGCGGGAGCAUUCUGGUGACAAGCCAUUUCAUUGCCGCAUCUGCCAAAAGGCAUUCACCAGGCAGUAUUAUAAAAGAAGACACGAGGCGGCACAUACACGGUCAGCUUCUCGUAGUGCAAGGCCGAGUGAGUCUUAGCAACAUCGGUGUGAUGAGGACUUCAUAAGCGGGUGUGAAGCAGGGUGUCAAACACAUAAACCUCAUUACAACAAACUUGGAUCUUACAACAAAUAAGCUUGUUACAUUAAAAAGUUCAUUAUAAAAGUUAUAAUAUAGCUAUUGCAAGACUAUCUUUUAUUUAUUUUGUUAUAAGUUAUAUUUUGUUAUAUCUAUGCUAAUUAUAUAUAUGUGCUAAUUAUAUUAAGACUUUAGUGUAUAUGCCUUCGGGAUCAAAGCACGUCAUUUUGCUCAGUUUGCACUUUGCAAAAAUGAAAGUCUAGUUGCUCUUGAACUGGUUUAAACCAUCAAACAGCUGAACAGACUGGUUGGGCACAGUAUCAACCUUAUUUAUGACAUGCUGUACAGUGCUUUCAACAACAUUAGUGUGCCAAGCUAGAUCAGUGCAGGAGUGAUUUCUCAAGCGAAUGCACUUGUAGUUUAACAUGACUUGUCUUGUAAUUUUUCAACUUAAUUUUGUUAUCAUGACCACUCAUGUUCUGCGCAAUGGGCACAGCAAUAGUGAAGCAGCACAUAUUCUUAUGAAUGUACAAAUAGCGAUAUUUUGAAGGGAAGUCAAAUAGUUCUUUUGGAAAAUACUCGUAUAUUUAUAUGGGACUUUUGUUGAAGUGGGGUAGAGCAAAAAGAAGUCAAUGUGUUCUGUGCCAGGCCUGACUUCUGCAACCAUCUAUCAUCCCACCUGUACAAUAAACAUCUCUCACCCGUAACAUAAUUGGUGGAGAGUGCUGGGUAACGCCUUGGAGCACCGGACAAGUACGGCGGAAGACACACCCUGGAGCUUCGCCGGAGCCGCAGACUCGCAGGACUUCCACCGUUACGAGUCAUCAUGAACCCUGACGGCAAAAUCCAACCAGCUACGCCUAACACCUAUGGACACCAUUACAGGGAACCGCGCCCGUUCUCUGGGAAACCUGGAGAGGACGUCGAUGAAUGGCUCAAGCACUAUCAGCGGGUGAGUCUGUAUAACCACAGGGACACUACCAGUCAGCGCAACUAUGUACCACUUUUUCUUGAGGGAACCGCAUUGAUGUGGUACGAGAUUCAUUAGGAGAAUUUGACUACCUGGGCGAAUUUCGUGGACGAAGUCAAGAAGUGUUUUGGAGAUCCGACCACGAUGAAGAAGCGUGCUGAGCAGACCCUGAGCCAACGUGCUCAAGUCCCUGGGGACACGUACGAUGUAUUAUUGAAGAAGUUCUCAAGCUUUGCAAGAGUGUGGACCCACUAAUGACUGAUGAGGAUAAGGUCUGGCAUCUCCUUAAGGGCAUUGCAGAGGCUAGCUAUCACUACCUUAUAGGAAAGGAUGACUUGCAGUCGGCCAAUGAUAUCAUCCGAUAUUGCCGAACAUUUGAGGCCCUUAAUGCUCGGCGCAUUUCGGCAAAAUUCGGAAGACUCCCCAACGUCACAACAGUCGCGAGCAUCGACGUAGUCUCUCCACUCAGCGAUCUGGCAUCAACAAUACGAUAAAUAGUGCGUGAAGAACUUGAUCGGCAGGACGCUACUGCACCGUCGAUAGCACAUGGCCAUGGUUCUUAUACACCAUGUGGUCCUCCGCUUCGUCGACUCAAGGGUGCCGGUGCAGUUGCGUCGUCAUGCCUAUAUGUCUGAUCUGCGAAACGACUCCGUGCAAAGAUCACCCCUCGAUAGGGCAGCGUGGCAAGAUUAUCCCGCUGACCAUCUUCAGUAGCGAGUGUGGCGUAAAGCACCUGUGUGCUUUUACUGCGGCGUUCGUGGACAUUUAGCCCGCUUCUGCUCAGAGCAGCAUCAGCCACCUCUGCUGCAGUAUCAACGACCCUCGGCAUUCUCACGGCGCGCAAGUACUCAGAGAGACUAUCGCUGGCCACCCAACGGCUACUACCGAACCGACUUUUAACAGACCUUCGCAGCGAUUUGCCGGCUUCUGUCUGGAGUGUGACGCCACCGGCUUCCUCCCGCCAGCAUCGGUCACCAUGACCAGGUCGUCGGCGUCUCACUUCUCCUCCUCCGCCGGGAAACUAGACGCCGCAGCUGAUGGAGGUGAAGUCGCCGGACAUUUUUCACUGCGUACAGAUAUGCCUCCGCCAGUUUCCAGUGGUACAAAACAGGAGCAGUGUUCUUAUAGAUGGUGUCCCCACGCCCCCGUUAGUCGAUACAGGAGCAACUGUUUCUGUCAUGAGCAGAAAUUUUAAGACUCGUCUUGGCAAGAAAGAGAUGUUCUCUUGGAGAAGCCAGGACAACGUUCGUGCAAUGAGUGGAGAACCGUUGCAGCCCAGUGGUAGUUUGUACUGCAACUUUUAGUUUCGGUGCUAAAUUGUUUAAAGCAGAUUUUGUAGUAGUUCUUAAUUGUACUCAUGACGUUAUCCUGAGGAUAAACUUUCUGAAAGAAUGUGGAGCCACUGUGGAUUGCGCAGCUGGCGAGCUUCUACUGUCUGGUUUUUGUGAAGAGGCCACGUGAUGCCAACAGACUGUUGCAGUCGUCGAUGACACAGUUUUACUGGCCCAAUCGAUAGUUCAAGUGCCCGUGGAUGUUUGUGGUAUCACAGCAGAUAACGUUGACGUUAUAGUUCACCCAAUCCAGCUGAGCUGUGCGAAGAAGGAUGUGGCUGUGCCGCAUUGCGUGAUUUCUGCAUGUAGUGGCAAGGCCUUGGUAUGGGUGGUCAACUCCUCUUCCGAGCUGAUUGUACUGCCUGGUGGAAUGAGGCUGGCUGUGUUUGAAUUCACCGUUAGAAGCAACGUUAACAUUGCAGUCAUUAGCAACAACAGGAAAAAGGAAAAUACCUCUGAUGUGGCUUGUCCUAGUGAUGACAUACUAAUGGAUAUGGUGAAUAAGUAGCUAUCGCCAGAGAAGAGACAAGCGUUAGUUCGAAUCCUCUCCAAUCAUGCAUUCGUUUUUGAUUUCGCACUGAAUAGUCGCAGAAUUCCUGCAUCACCUUCGCACACUCGUCAUGCGAUUGAUACUGGUUCCGCCUAUCCCAUUUAUCAGAGACCAUACAGAGUAGCUCCAGUCGGAGCAUAAUGUUAUUGCUGAGCAGGUGGAAGAAAUGCUGUCUAAGAAAGUUAUACAAGCGUAGUCUAGCCCCUGGGCAGCACCAGUUACACUUGUAAAAAAGAAGGAUGGGUUUUGGAGAUUCUGUGUAGAUUACCGGUGGCUCAACUCAGUUACAAAAAAAAAAGUAUAUCCGCUUCCCCGCAUCGACGACGUUAUCGAUUGUUUGCACUGUGCUUCGUACUUUUCUUCCGUAGACUUAAGAUCGGGAUAUUGGCAAAUCCUUAUGCACUUUGCUGAAUAAAAAAAAAACGACUUUUAUAACUCCAGAUCGUUUAUUUGAAUUUAACGUCAUGCCGUUUGGUCUAUGUAACGCUCCAGCCACGUUUGAGCGCUUUAUGGACACAGUUCUCAGUGACUUAAAAUGGGAAGUAUGUCUUUGCUAUCUUUAUGACGUUGUAAUCUUUGGCCGCAUGUAUGAAGAAUACAAUUGACGACUUGAUGUCGUUCUCCCGUGCCUUGAGAAAGCAGUACUUACCUUGAUUUACAAAAAGUGCCAUUUUAGUGUUCGUGAAACUCUAAUUCUUGGCCAUCUCGUAGACAAACACGUCGUUCGGCCUGAUCCCCACAAAAUCACCACGGUCAGCACUUUCCCUCAACCACACUUGCUACGAGAACUCCGAAGCUUCCUGGGCCUGUGUUCGUAUUUCGGGCGCUUUUUUCCUAGCUUCGCCUGUGUUGCUGAGCCUCUUAUACUCAUCUGCUCAACAAAGAUGUACCUUUCAAGUGGACAAAAGAGUGCGAGUCAUCGUUCUCGCAGCUGAAGCUUCUACUCACUUCUGGGCCUAUUCUUCGUCAUUUCAACGCAUCAGCCCCAACUGAGGUUCACAGUGACGCAAGCGGAAUUGAUAUCGGCGCAGUAUUAGGUCAGCGUCAUGGCACCGCCGAACAUGUCAUUGCCUACGCGAGUCGUUCUUUGAGUAAAGCUGAGUGCAAUUACACUGUUACUGAGCAAGAAUGUCUGGCAGCUGUCUUCGCCGCGCACAAGUUUCGCCCGUACACCCAUGGCCGCUGAUUCUCCAUCGUCACAGAUUUCCACUCACUUUGUUGGCUCACUGGUCUACUAGUUCCAACCGGUCGUCUUGCACGAUGGGUGCUCCGUUUGCAAGAAUAUGACGUUGAUGUUUGCUUCAAAAGUGGCCGCCGUCACGCGAACGCUGACUGCCUAUCGCGACUUCCCCUUCCCACGACUGAAUGCGACGCCGACAAUUUAGAUGACUGUCUGGCCGCUUUUGACUCACGUUUUCCAGAUUUGGAAGCGUUCCGUACAGAACAAUGUCAAGACCGUAGUCUGGCUCCUUUUUUCUCAUCUGCCAUCGAUAAGCUGCAUCAGAGCCUAUUCGUCAUGCAGGAUGGCAUUCUUUACAAGUGAAAUUUUGCUGCGAAGGGGGCCCGCCUACUUUUGGUUGUCCCCAAAUCAUUGCGGCACAACGUGAUGCAAGCUAUGCACGACGAUCCAGCAUCUGGGCAUAUUGGGUUCGCCAAGACCUAUCACCGCACACUGAAAUGUUUCUACUCGCCCCGCAUGCGUCAGGCUACAGCUAAAUACGUGACCAGCUGUGAAAAUUGUCAACGAUACAAGAGUCCAACAAGUGCGCCGCCAAUGUUUCUCCAUCCCAUACCGCCUCCAUGUUUUCCCUUUGAGGUCGUCGGUAUUGACUUGAUGGGCCCUUUUCCACGAUCUGUCACUGGGAACUGCUGGAUUAUAGUCUCUGUAGACCACCUCACUCGUUAUGCUGAAACCGCAGCGAUCUCUGCCACAACAGCCGAUCACGUUUGUGACUUUUUGCUACGCUACAUCAUCCUCCGGCAUGGGCCCCUCGUGCCAUCAUCAGCGACUGUAGCCGGCAGUUUGUAGCCGACGUCGUAGAAGAGUUGAUUCGCCGGUCCGCUUCCCAGUUUCGUCACGCCACUUUAUAUCAUCCACAAACCAAUGGUUUGACUGAGCGUGUCAACAGGACACUCGUUAACAUGCUCACUAUGUACGUUGAUUUCAAGCAUAAAAACUGGGACGAAGUUUUACCAUUUAUGACCAAUGCCUACAACACUGUGCUACGACAGACCACGGGCUUUAGCCUGUUUUACCUUCUCUACAUCCGUGAGCCACGUACUACUCUCGACACAAUUCUCCCAUUUUCAGAGCAAGAAAACCCGUCCCUUGCAGAGACACUCUGUCGCGCAGAGGAGGCAAGGCGCGUCGUGUGUCUCCGGACUUUCGAAGCCCAAGAUCGUUCAAAGGCUCGCUACAAUGAGCGACAUAGAAAUGUGUCGUACAGCGAAGGUGCUAUGGUGUGGCUGUGGACUCCAUAUCGCAAGAGUGGUUUGUAUCAAAAGUUUCUGGCCCCCUAUACAGGUCCCUUCGUCGUUUUGUCGCGCCUUAGCGAUGUUACGUACGUGAUAUCACACCUCACAUCCUCUGGCCAUCGCUCCAGGAAAACUGGCGUCGUACAUGUCGCCCGGUUGAAGCCAUACCACGCGCGACACUAACUCGCCCAGUGGGCAUCGUCUGCAACGAGGAAAAUGAUACGGUACUUUCAUUGAAGUGGGGUAGAAGAGAAAGAAGUAAAUGUGUUCUGUGCCAGGCCUUAUUUCUGCAACCAUCUAUCAUCCCGCCUGUACAAUAAACAUCUCUCACUCGUAACAAUAUGCAUUAAAAUGAGAUAAAAGUUAAAACCUGUAUAAUAUUUGGCAACAAAUAGCUGCACAUUAUUUUAUGUAUGUGAAUUUUGUGUGAUAAUGCCAGUUUAUGUAUGUUAAAGAAGUUUCUGUAUAUAAAAGAGAAAAAGAUCAACUUGAGGCCACAGGUUUACUGUGCCUUAAUCGGCAAUAAAUUCUUUGCAACUGCCUUUUCUAUACACCAGACAGGAUACUGAUUCCUUGAAUUUCUUGCCUUCAUUUAUUCAUUCAGCUUAUUAACUAUAUUCAGAUAAUUACCUUCUUAUGCAUGGCAUGACUUUUUCAGCUAGACAUUAUCUCUGCCUUUACUUAAAGGUGGGAGGGGGGUCUUAAAAUAGCAUAAGAUCGUAAAAAAUGCUGACUUGCGAAAAUUGCAAUUGAAGUAUUUUUAGUUUAAAGUAUGUUUUGGAAAAAUUUUAUAUUAUCGCAAAAUACCAUUCCUUUUGUUAAAAUCCCAAUAUAUGAAAUACAAAUGUUUUUAUAACUGGAAACAUAAUUUUCUUGGCAUUGUUAUUUUCAGUGAAGUGAAUCUGCUUUACGGAAGUUUUGAGCAAGUUUUUGUGAAGAUAUCUAAACAAACUUGGUACCAUUCUUUUCCGCAGCCCUUGAACUACAAGCUAGAGCUUUUUUUCAUAUCUCAAACUUGAUAGAAUCGUAAUUAUUUGAUAAAUACCAGCUAAUUACUGGAAGCUCAUUUUAUGCUCCAAAUUUAAAUAUUAUUUUAUCAAAGGAAUAGCCAGUUUGAUAUCUAGUUUGCUUUAGCCCGUAAGAUGUACCUUUUAGAGGAAACAUGUAGUUUUGAAAACUAACUUUUUUUUUAUUGCGAGUUACCAUAACGACCCGUAAGAAUAUAUCUAAUUUUAAUGUAGGAAUCUGUCAUUACUUUUUUAUAAGUGAGCUAUUUGAAAUCUGUUUGCAGAUUAAAAAUCUCUAUUCGAUCGUACGCAUGCAUGGUAAUGUUUAUGAAUGAUAGUACAGUAACAAAUAUAAAAAAUUUAAACCCUCGUUCUCCCUUAAAGCCUUUCUUUAUGCACGCUAACAUUUUGAAUGUAGUUAUUUUUCAAAGGUUGUUGAGAGCUAGAACGAUUGACCUGGUUUGUUCAUGAACUGGCACUGUCAUAUUUUGUAGAUGCACUGUCAUGAUAAUAAUGUUGUUUAUGUUUCGUUUUUGUUUUGCAUUGCUUUUGUGUCAAUUAUGUAAACUAUGUUCUUUGUGAAAAUGUAUUCUACUCCUAAUAGCCCCCGGACAGGGCAGCUGUAUUUGAAAAUAAAGAAAUAAAUCAAUAAAUAAACAGAAGGAAACACUAGAACUGACCUGGUUCAGGUUGUAGUUCAGUUUCCUCGCAUGUCAAAGCUAUUCGA